rnacentral:rRNA from 1 species
CCCUUAGAUGUUCUGGGCCGCACGCGCGCUACACUGUUCGACGCAGCGAGUCUUAACCUUGACCGAAAGGUUUGGGUAAUCUUCAGCAAAGUCGAACGUGAUGGGGAUCGAUCAUUGCAAUUAUUGAUCGUGAACGAGGAAUUCCUAGUAAGUGCAAGUCAUCAGCUUGCGCUGAUUACGUCCCUGCCCUUUGUACACACCGCCCGUCGCUACUACCGAUUGAAUGGUUUAGUGAGAUCUCUGGAUUGACGCUGGCUAGGGGGCGACCCUUGGCCAGACUGCUCGAGAAACUGCUCAAACUUGAUCAUUGAGAGGAAGUAAAAGUCGUAACA